AUUAUUUAUUUGAAUAAUAUAAAUAAAAUGCAAAAUAGAGUUUAGUGAGGGUGUGAGGAGAGUUUGAGGGUGAAGGAAGUAACUGGGAAUUUUAGGUUAAAUAAAUAGAUAAAGUGUUAGAACUUUGGCACAAUACGUAAAAAGGUGGAAAAGUGGCAGAUCGCGAGAUUUUGGAAAAAAGGAAAAAAAAACUCAGAAUGGUCGUAGGAAGGAAGAGAAAGGUACAUCCCAAGUGCAAGAAAAUUCAACGAUCAAACAAUUUCAAUGUAGAGGCUCUUUAUAUAUGGUGUUUAGGUAGUAGGGUAGUCAGGAAUCCUAACUCUCUUAUAUUUUUCUCUUCAAUUUUGUAUCUAUGAUUGUUGUUUGUAUGUAUGUGGGGAAAAAGGGUUUGCCUUGAACCCUUUUGCCCAAUUCUUGAACACCUUGUAUGAUUGUUGUAUGAUAAUUUGUGGUUGUGCCCUUUGGGCUAAAUUUUCGUAAUAAUAAUUGGAUCAUGGUAUAUAUUUGUUUGGAGUCUGAUAUGUAUUGGUUUUUUUAGCAAUAACUAUAAAAGUCACGAAAAUAUCCCCAA
rnacentral:lncRNA from 1 species